rnacentral:rRNA from 1 species
AUUGAACGCUGGCGGCAGGCCUAACACAUGCAAGUCGAGCGGAGCGGCGGACGCGUGCGUAAUGCCUAGGAAUCUGCCUGGUAGUGGGGGAUAACGUCAGGAAACGGGAGCUAAUACUGCAUACUAUCAGAUGAGCCUAGGUCGGAUUCGCUAUAUGGUGGGGUAAAGGCCUACAAAGGCGACGAUCCGUAACUGGUCUGGGAGGAUGAUCAGUCACACGGGAACUGAGACACGGUCCAGAGUCCUACGGGAGGCAGCAGUGGGGAAGAUUGGACAAUGGGCGAAAGCCUGAUCCAGCCAUGCCGCGUGUGUGAAGAAGGUCUUCGGAUUGUAAAGCACUUUAAGUUGGGAGGCGUUACCAACAGAAGAAGCACCGGCUAACUUCGUGCCAGCAGCCGCGGUAAUUC